rnacentral:rRNA from 1 species
AAACAACUCUCAGCAACGGAUAUCUUGGCUCUUGCAACGAUGAAGAACGCAGCGAAAUGCGAUACGUAGUGUGAAUUGCAGAAUUCC